AUAGAGGAUGACACUGUUACUCCUCACACCUGCACUUCACCUCACAAAAGGACCAGCUAAAGACAUUUUCUGCAGUUCUUGAGCUUUUUUUGCAAGUUUUGACACAAGUUUUGUUUUUUUGCAAGUUUUGACAUAGUUUUUUGUUUUAUAUUUUAGACUGAAGUGGGUUUGGAUCUAACAUCGUGGAAAAGGUAUAAAAGUGCUUCCUUACCAUUCGUAGAUCUACUCUUCCAAUCUCAUCUCUGUGAAUUCUAUCCUUCAUUCCACCGGAGUCUGUGUAGAUGUCCAAUCAGAUUUCAGUGGUGUGAAGUGUAGGAGACAUGGAAAGAUCUCCUCACCACCUAUAACCUGACAUUUUGGAGAAGGUUGGGGAUUGCGUUAACAGAUAAAAACUGUAACAGAACUGUUAAAAGGUGAAAUGCAGUGUAAACACGAGUAUGCAUGACUAGUUUUCAGUUGUAGUAUAAUUUGCUUGGAUCAAAGCAGCCUAUGACAGUUAUAUGCUAAAUGCUGAAUGUCAAGCCCCCUUUUUGCCUUCCCAGCCUUGUUGCACGGAGGACGCUUUGAAGUUCACCGUACCUAAACAUCUAUGUAAAGCAACGUACCUCACCCUGCCCUUUAGCGCAAUAUGCUAACUCCAAACAACAUGGCAUGUUGGUUCAUAUGCUAUUGUGAAGGGAAACGCACAAAGAUUCAAGGUGCCUGCCAAAAUAUAUUUGUGUGUGUGUGUGUGUAUUCAGUACAUAUACUCUCAACCCACACCAAUAAACUUGUUUUUUAAAAGUG